UGUGUGUGUAGCAUGAAAGAGACUUUCUUCCCACAUUUUAGGGGCAGCAUAGUUCAGGUAGGAUCCAAGAGAUGUCAUGAAUCCAGCAGAGAAAGGCUCUGUCUGAGAAUUUUAUUGCCACAGAAAGCUGGUGAUAUAAGUAAAGCUUAGGAUUAUUAAACUAGUAGGUCUUUGGCAAAUGCUAUCAGUGUUUGGAGAAAUAUGCCUAAAGGAUGUACGUCCUUUGAAUGAAUGAAUGAGUGAAUGAAUCUGGGCACCAUUUUUUCCCCCUCCAAGUUACCGUUUUAUAACUUGGUUUUGUUUAUUCUGAUGUUGAGCUUUUUGAAAUUGAUCACAAAUUAAUUUUCACGGUAUGUUUGAUCCCUGACGUUUCUAAAGCAGUUCUUGAAAAACCUAGGAUAUUGCUCCGGGAUAUUGUGAGGAAAUCUUUUUGAUAAGAAUGAGGCCCAUUCUCUACAUCCGAUCUUACUCUUUCCAAUUUUUCUUAAUAUUACUACUCUCGAGAAGUUAAAGGAUUAAAAACAAGUCUGGUGGUGAUAAAUCGGUAGUUCUUGCCUAGCUUAUAAUUAAGGGUAAUUCACAUGUAGAGGAAGGUUUGACAGCUCACAUGUUUAGAAACUUGCAUCAAAAUGAAACCAAUGAAUCAUUUGAAGCCAAAGUACAGCCAGCCCCACCCCCCUCCCCCAGCAGGUGGACGACUGCAUGGGGCUCCUCCACUCACCAAAAGCAAGAGGAAGGAGGAGCAAGGGCAACCCUCCAGCUGCCCUACCAUGCAUCAGAAAGCCAGAAAUGGGCAGCACGCUGUUUCCAGGUCCCAAGCGCACCCAGGCCUGCUUCCCAGAGCCACACUGCACACUGCACACCUCUCCCACCUGCCUAACUGGGUCGUUUAACCAGACAGGAGGCAUCCCUGGCCUGGGCAGCCCUACUCUCCCGGCUCCCAGGGGUCCCGUUCCUGGCAGCCUGGCAGAGCAGCCUCGAGUGCUGGAGAAAGCCACUUUGGCAUAUUAAUCACAGCAAAUGAAUGUGCCCUGCCGGCUCUCGCAUGGGGCACCUCGCUAAUACUGGGCUUGCACUACAGCUUUCGGAUUCAACCAGUGUUUUGAUUUCCUGACCCAACUUCCCUCCACAUGAAAAACAGCCAACAGACCAGCCACACCAGGUACCACCGCAAAACAUGCAGAAGCGGCAGGCAGCGAGAAAGAGCUGGAGCCAGCACCACAGGGCAGGAGCAAGCCGGAGGAGGUGCGACAGCAGCCAAUUGUGAGCCGGGAGAAAGUUGCAGCCACCGGGGCUGCGAUUCCUCUCUCGCUGCCGUGGCCGCCGCGCCAGCCCGGCAUCUCUGCUUCGCUUGCUUUCUUCCCUUUUUUCCACCCGCUCUUCUUCUUUCUUUUUUUUACACUUGGCUACGGAACAUUAGAUUUGACGAAGGGAAAGCGAUUUAACAUCUUUUAACUGAAGGAGGUUGAUUUUCAUUUGAGACCAAAUGGCUCAUUUUUACCUUUUUAGCUCCUGGAAGAGUAAAAAGUGAGAGGUCAGCCCUGCGUCACCAUGGCAACCCACACAGCUCGGGCCAGGAGCAGAUGAACGGAGCUCUUUACGCCGUGUGAUCACCAGGAAAUGAGGAAAGACCCAUGGGUACCAGGCCCUGGGUUAGGUGCUGUACCGUCUUAUUGCCUCUGAUCCUCGCAGUGGUCUCAUGAGCCACAGAAUCGAAUACGACAUUGCAUCCCUCCCGUUAGCUCAUUAGCAAUGAAGGAUCUGAUCUUUACAAGAAAAAUUGGGAAAUUUCACCACAGAUGGGAAUGCCUUGAUUGCUUGGUGAGGCUGUGACUGCACAGUCAGCAACAGGUGCUGUUGCUUUUGUAGAACCCUGUGCUUCAAAAGACAAGCUGAGACUCCGAAAUGAAAGUUAAUGACAAAUCCAGCCAGAGUGAACAGAUGGAGUGACAAGUGACAGCCCAUCUUAUAUAUAUGAAUGUUUGUGCUUCCCCAUCUGCGUGAGAUGUGUCCAUUGACUUGCUUUGACCAAUGGGGGAAGACACGUGUGUCUUCUUUGUGUAAAAGAACUGCUUUGUUCUCCACCACUUUCUUGCCCUUGCUACAGCAAUGGGAGACUCCCAAUGAUGGAGCCUUCAUCAGCCUGAGUCUCUGAGUGAGGAUUUUGUAGAGAAGAGCCCCUCACAAAUCUAAAGAUGGACGUGUCACAUAAGUGAGAAAUAAACCAUGGAUUUAAGUCA